rnacentral:rRNA from 1 species
UACAGAGGGGGCGAGCGUUAUUCGGAAUUAUUGGGCGUAAAGGGCGCGUAGGCGGCCUGACAAGUGACGGGUGAAAUCCCUCGGCUCAACCGAGGAUCUACCUGUCAGACUGUUGGGCUUGAGUCCGGGAGAGGUGAGUGGAAUUCCCAGUGUAGCGGUGAAAUGCGUAGAUAUUGGGAGGAACACCAGUGGCGAAGGCGGCUCACUGGACCGGAACUGACGCUGAGGCGCGAAAGCGUGGGGAGCAAACAGG